AUGCACUGUACGUAAUCACUUGUCAUUCCUGUUGAUGAUUGGUUCCAUUCCAGUGCUAUAGCAAUCCCCAUAAUGAAAAGUAUGGCUGACCAAUCGUUGGCCUGUUUUUGUCUGUUGGGGACAAUG